rnacentral:rRNA from 1 species
CGAGCGACAGAAGGAGCUUGCUCCUUUGACGUUAGCGGCGGACGGGUGAGUAACACGUGGAUAACCUACCUAUAAGACUGGGAUAACUUCGGGAAACCGGAGCUAAUACCGGAUAAGAUUUUGAACCGCAUGGUUCAAUAGUGAAAGACGGCCUUGCUGUCACUUAUAGAUGGAUCCGCGCCGUAUUAGCUAGUUGGUAAGGUAACGGCUUACCAAGGCAACGAUACGUAGCCGACCUGAGAGGGUGAUCGGCCACACUGGAACUGAGACACGGUCCAGACUCCUACGGGAGGCAGCAGUAGGGAAUCUUCCGCAAUGGGCGAAAGCCUGACGGAGCAACGCCGCGUGAGUGAUGAAGGUCUUCGGAUCGUAAAACUCUGUUAUCAGGGAAGAACAAACGUGUAAGUAACUGUGCACGUCUUGACGGUACCUGAUCAGAAAGCCACGGUUAACUACGUGCCAGCAGCCGCGGUAAUACGUAGGUGGCAAGCGUUAUCCGGUAUUAUUGGGCGUAAAGCGCGCGUAGGCGGUUUUUUAAGUCUGAUGUGAAAGUCCACGGCUCAACCGUGGAGGGUCAUUGGAAACUGGAAAACUUGAGUGCAGAAGAGGAAAGUGGAAUUCCAUGUGUAGUGGUGAAAUGCGCAGAAUAUGGAGGAACACCAGUGGCGAA